GACGAACGCUGGCGGCGUGCCUAAUACAUGCAAGUAGAACGCACAGUUUAUACCGUAGCUUGCUACACCAUAAACUGUGAGUUGCGAACGGGUGAGUAACGCGUAGGUAACCUGCCUGGUAGCGGGGGAUAACUAUUGGAAACGAUAGCUAAUACCGCAUCAUAUUAAUUAUUGCAUGAUAAUUGAUUGAAAGCUGCAAUUGCAUCACUACCAGAUGGACCUGCGUUGUAUUAGCUAGUAGGUGAGGUAACGGCUCACCUAGGCGACGAUACAUAGCCGACCUGGGAGGGUGAUCGGCCACACUGGGACUGAGACAAGGCCCAGACUCCUACGGGAGGCAGCAGUAGGGAAUCUUCGGCAAUGGACGAAAGUCUGACCGAGCAACGCCGCGGGAGUGAAGAAGGGUUUCGGAUCGUAAAGCUCUGUUGUAAGAGAAGAACGGGUGUGAGAGUGGAAAGUUCACACUGUGACGGUAUCUUACCAGAAAGGGACGGCUAACUACGUG
rnacentral:rRNA from 1 species